rnacentral:rRNA from 1 species
GAUGAACGCUGGCGGCAGGCCUAACACAUGCAAGUCGAGCGAACACACCGGGAGCUUUCGCCUCUGAGGGUGGCGCGGGUCGGACGAGUCAUACUUGGAUAACCUACCUCUUUGACUCGGGUAAUAACGGGAAACCGGUUCUAAUACCGGAUAAUAUAUCGAACCGAAUUGAUCAAUAGUUAUAGACGGUUUUUGUGUCUGUAAUAGCCUAUUUCGCGUAGCAUGAGUGAGUUGGUAAAGUAACGGCUUACCAAGGCUACGAUGCGUAGCCGACCUGAGAGGGUGAUCGGCCACACUGGAACUGAGACACGGUCCAGACUCCUACGGGAGGCAGCAGUCGGGAAUCUUCCGCAAUGGGCGAAAGCCUGACCGAGCAACACCGCGUGAGUGAUGAAGGUCUUCGGAUCGUAAAGCGCUGUUGUUCGGAAAGUACAAAAGCGUAUUUAGCUAUGCACGUCUUGACGGUACCAAAAGAAGAAGCCCCGGCUAACUACGUG